GAGUGACCUCUCUUCCUCUCUUUUCACUACACGUGUCCCCCUCUCUCUCUCUUUAUCAACAA
rnacentral:sRNA from 1 species